rnacentral:rRNA from 1 species
CACGUAGGGGGCGAGCGUUGUCCGGAUUUAUUGGGCGUAAAGAGCUCGUAGGCGGCUCGGUAAGUCAGGUGUGAAAACUCUAGGCUCAACCUAGAGACGCCACCUGAUACUGCUGUGGCUAGAGUCCGGUAGGGGAGCAUGGAAUUCCUGGUGUAGCGGUGAAAUGCGCAGAUAUCAGGAGGAACACCAGUGGCGAAGGCGGUGCUCUGGGCCGGAACUGACGCUGAGGAGCGAAAGCGUGGGGAGCAAACGGG